rnacentral:lncRNA from 1 species
AACCCAUUCCAACAACCCUAAAGAUUUAAGACGUGAGGCGUGUUCAUCUGUGAAGCAUUUUGUUCAAUUUUCAACAAUAAAAUCUGACGAAACAGCUCUUCAACAAGGAAUCUGUGAGGAAAAUCGUGUUCUUCAGCUCUUCAAUCUUCAACAAGGAAUCUGUGAGGAAAGUUUCACAGAAAUCUGUAAGGGAAAUCUAUCGUUCUUCAGUUUUUCAGACUUGAAGAAAACCGUAUUGUGUUUGUGUUGCAAAGUGCAAUUUUUUCUGAUUUGGGGAAAACAAGUUUUAAUGAUUUAUGAAUUAUUAUUUUUGCCCAAUAAAAAUUGGAGGGAGAACAAGUUUUA